GAUGAACGCUGGCGGCGUGCUUAACACAUGCAAGUCGAACGGAAAGGCCCAAGCUUGCUUGGGUACUCGAGUGGCGAACGGGUGAGUAACACGUGGGUGAUCUGCCCUGCACUUCGGGAUAAGCCUGGGAAACUGGGUCUAAUACCGGAUAGGACGAUGGUUUGGAUGCCAUUGUGGAAAGUUUUUUCGGUGUGGGAUGAGCUCGCGGCCUAUCAGCUUGUUGGUGGGGUAAUGGCCUACCAAGGCGUCGACGGGUAGCCGGCCUGAGAGGGUGUACGGCCGCAUUGGGACGGAGGUACGGCCCGACUCCUACGGGAGGCAGCAGUGGGGAAUAUUGGACAAUGGGCGCAAGCCUGAGGCAGCGACGCCGCGUGGGGGAUGACGGCCUUCGGGUUGUAAACUCCUUUCGCUAGGGACGAAGCGUUUUUGUGACGGUACCUGGAGAAGAAGCACCGGCUAACUACGUG
rnacentral:rRNA from 1 species